AAGAAAGUGGCGGAGUGGUUAAGCAGCUGGCUUGAAAUCAGUGUAUGGGGGUUCAAUUCCCUCCUUUCUCG
rnacentral:tRNA from 1 species